rnacentral:lncRNA from 1 species
CAACAGGUAACACAUCGUCUUGUAAGUCAUGUAAGAUAGGAUUUAUCCAGCUCAGCUUGGGAUCCGUUUGCAUUAUGGCAAACUCUUCAAUGCUUAGUUUCUCAAGAGGUUCAAGAUGGGAACUUCUUUUUAGGUCGACCGCACCUACAGUCGCCAAUUGUGAAAAUAGGUCGGCCUGCAUGUUCUCCGCCCUCAAUAUUUGUUGGAUAUUCAUAGUAGCGAAGCUGGAGGCG